CACGUAGGGCGCGAGCGUUGUCCGGAAUUAUUGGGCGUAAAGAGCUCGUAGGCGGUGUGUCGCGUCGGCCGUGAAAACUUGGGGCUUAACUCUGAGCGUGCGGUCGAUACGGGCAUCACUUGAGUUCGGCAGGGGAGACUGGAAUUCCUGGUGUAGCGGUGAAAUGCGCAGAUAUCAGGAGGAACACCGGUGGCGAAGGCGGGUCUCUGGGCCGAUACUGACGCUGAGGAGCGAAAGCAUGGGGAGCGAACAGG
rnacentral:rRNA from 1 species